GAAAGGCCGUUAAGCUAUCCCC
rnacentral:siRNA from 1 species